UACGGAGGGAGCUAGCGUUGUUCGGAUUCACUGGGCGUAAAGGGUGCGUAGGCGGUCGGGUAAGUCUGACGUGAAAUCUCCGGGCCUAACCCGGAAACUGCGUUGGAAACUGCCUGGCUAGAGGAAUGGAGGGGAGACUGGAAUACUUGGUGUAGCAGUGAAAUGCGUAGAUAUCAAGUGGAACACCAGUGGCGAAGGCGAGUCUCUGGACAUUUCCUGACGCUGAGGCACGAAAGCCAGGGGAGCAAACGGG
rnacentral:rRNA from 1 species